UCUGCAAGCAGUAAAUGCAGCAGUCCAACCCAGAGCUCCAAAUAUUCAUCAGACCGUUAACUCAAACAAUGAAUGAAAAACAUGAAUGCAUGACUUCUGUUUUGUUGCAGGCUAUCAGGAACAAGCCACACCCUGUAGCUUAUUUUACCUUAAAACUGGAUCCUGUAGCUGCAGGCCUCCCAAGAUGCCUUAAAGCCGUGGCUGCGGCUGAGAAGGCAGUUAUGGUCUCCCAAGAUAUUGUGUGCUAUUCUGAUGUUACUGACACAUGCUGUGUCUUUGAUUUUACUUGAACAAAAAACUUCUAAUUUCUUUACAGCACGAUGGCUACGAUACAACACAAUCCUUCUAGAAAUGUCUAACAUCACUGUCAAAAGAUGCAAUGUUUUAAACCCUUCCACUCUUCUCCCCACACCAGACGAUGGAGAACUAACUGUUUUGCUAUCCUCCAACAGGUUUGCUCCCCAAAACCAGACCUACAAGAAACACAUUUAACAAAUCCUUAUUUGGUUCUUUUUGUAGAUGGAUCUGCCUCACGCAACCCACAAACUGGUCGCAACACAGGCGGCUUUGCUGUUGUUGCUAACUUUUGCUCCUGGAAUCAACUGCUGUUUGUAAAUGUCUUGCUCACCCUAACAACUCAAACCCUGUCUCUCUAGGAAAUGCUAGAGCUGAUGCCGCUGCAAAACAAAAUCGCACUCCAGCCACCUAUCACUGAUCCUUUAUUGGUAUCGAUUCCUUUCACUGAUUCCUUUCACACACAGCAAUGCAAUCUUUCGCCACACCUCAGGAAAAGGCGCUGUGGACACGCUGUGGUGCCACACAAAAGGAUGCAGUAUAACGAGGACCCGAUAAUAAACCUUGCAUACCUAAACACUUCUUUCCUCAUUCUGCAAAAUUGACACAUAGGUUGGACCAUGUGUCAAAAGGGGGAAUGUUGGGUGCCAUAACCCAACACUGGUUCACUAAAGGAUCUUCAGUUCAUGCGCAGAAGUUUUGUCAAUUGUGUAUGGUUUGUGCAACGCAAAACGCAGGUAAAACCAAAACAAUCACACACGCUGCCCACCCACCAGACAGACCAUUCAAACACUUAAUGAUGGACUUCAUAGAGCUGUCACCUAGUGGUAGCAAAGGCUCUGUGAACAGAAAUCACUCCCAGAUGGGAAAUACCAACUGAACAACGAUAAUGGCUCUCAUUUUUCUGCAAAUUCUGCAAUAACCCAAAUCAGUGAAUUUCUUGCCAUUGACCUCAGACAACAUUGCACAUAUCACCCUGCCAGUGGGGGUGCUGUCAAAUGAGAGAAUGGCUCUCUGAGAUCAAAAUUGGCCAAAUGCUGUGACGAAACGGGACUGCCAUGGACAAAAAGCUCUGCCGAUUGUUCUAAUGGAUAUGAUAAUCAAGAAAAGAUCCAGAGUAAACAUGAGUCCCUGUAAAAAUAUUUUUUGGCAGACCUCUGUCCCUUGGAGUGGAGCCUGUAACCAGGCCACUCCCCUCCACUGGCCUAUGUGAGGAUGACAUGCUACAAUAUUGCAAGAACUUAUUCUGCACUCUCUCUCAAAUCUCCCAGCAGGUGAAAUCAGCCCUUCCACCACCAGCUUCCACAUCCCUCCACGACUUCCAGCCUGACGACUGGUUGAUGAUAAAGGACCUCAGAAGGAAGCACUGGCACUCCAAACGGUGAUGAGGUCCAUUCCAGGUGCUUCUGACAACACAUACCGCUGUGAAGAUCGCUGAGAGAACAACGUGGGUUCAUGCCAGCCACUGCAGGAAGGUCCCGGAGCCAACAGAUGAUCCAAACCACCAACCCCGACAACCAGAGGACGACCGACGUGUGGACGAACGACGUACAGAUGAACAGACGCAAAGGAGGACGACGAGAAAUUAACUCCGUGAAUUCAUCCGACGCUGAUUAGCCUACCUGACUGCACCGUGCAUCACCUGACCCCUAGACUGCUCCCAACGCCAAUGUUGGAUGGUCUCUAUUUCUAGGAGGUGGAACGACUGCAGCCCUAAACAAAAUCAAUGGACUAGCCUAGUUUGUUCUUUCCUUAGCAGACAGAACUGAAGCUGCUACCACCUUAAUGAACACUGAAAUGUUUGCAACUAGAACAGCAGUUAUCCAACACAGACUCACUCUCGACAUCAUACCAACUGAGGGAGGAUGGAUCUUUUUGCUCCUCUUCUUCUCCCUCUUCUUCUCCUAACAACUGCCAUGAAAAUACAUUUUAAAUCUAUGUGAAUUAAUGUGCCAGAUAAUUGAGUUGUAAUAUGUUUUUUUUUCUCUCUCUUUUCCUUUUUUUCUAUUUUACUUUAUUUUAACUUUUAAGUUUGUUUUUUGUUAGUGAUUAAUUAAUAAUCAAAAGGGAGAAUUGUAAUUGUAAUUUUAAUGUCUUUGUUAAGAAUUGCUUGAGGUGCCCCUCACAACAGACUUUCCAAUCAACAUAUCAAUUAAUCAGCAUGUCUAGACAUCAACAGACAACAUCCUGCAGGAUGCUCCAGGUGUCACCACCACCCCAGGGGGGUGGAGUGACAGUCCCCACAGGCAACAAAAGGUGCCAACACCUAAGCCCCAUUCCUUGCCCUCUGAGAGGCGGUCCUAAAGUAUAAAAUAUUCUGUAUUCCCCUGAUUCAGGGUCUUUUCUGAUUCUACCCGCUCGGAUCCAGAUCGACCUUUUCUUUGCAAAGAAAAUAAAACCUUGUCGGCCGGUAGAAGUCUCUAUUUCAUUAUUCACCAGCAGCGACGGAAGGAGAAAAAACUUCCACGACACUCCUCGUUUGUAAAGUCUGCGGUCCUUCGCUCUCCUGCCUGCUCUGACGCUCCAGACUGGUCCAUUUUCACGAUUGGUCAGAUGCGGCGGGCUCCGCCUUACAUGCGUGCACGCGCUCAUAGCAAAGCUGGAUCAACUUACGAGGUUGAUAACCAGCGUCGUAAAACCGUGUAGCGAGACUGAUGGCCACCGCGCUAAGUUGAGCGAGGUAGCUCCAAGGCUACCUCGCUAGGUUGAACUUGCUUCGUAGAACAGGCCCCCGGUCGGGACCAGGUUUUACUCAGUAAACCCAGAGUUUCAGGUGAGACAUCGGCAUUUUCUCACUUUGAUCCUGUUUUACAUUGUCAAGUAUUAAGUGGCAGUUUGAUCCCUUAAAAAAUGCUCUUUUCACACUCAAAAAUGAAUUUUACUCUCUUAUGAUGUUCCGUUAAAUGAUUAGGAAUAUUAAACUAACACAAAAACGGGUGGUGGCCCAGCAGCCCCACCUUUAACGGAGGCAGAGUAGCUGCCACCCCCCCCCCCCCCCCCCCCCCGGUCCGAUCGCAAACCCCCCAGGCUGGCUGUUUAUGUCUGGCGUGCACGUGCUUAACUCCAGGUCAAACUACUCGGAGUUGCUAAAACUGACUCAAAUCAGGUGUUGUGAAACCGGAAACUCAGAGUUUCCUAUCUCAGAGUAGAUCAACUCAGAGUUAAGGAUUUGACUCAGAGUUUGUUGAACCACCUACGUGAAACGGACCCCUGGAUCCUUUCUGAUCCUAUUGUGUAAAACUCUAUGAAAAUCUUUAAUUCAAUUCAAAUUAAAUUCAAAUCCCUUAAUUCGUCCCCCAGGGGCAAUUUAAAAUAUGGAUAUGAUUUAGGAGACACUUCCAUUUUAACCAGAUGAAUAGCUCAUCUCCCUUUUAAUCAUAUCCUCAAAUGGAUAUGAGCUUUGCAGGUUAGCACCAACACAGCCUAAUUUUCUGCCAGGACUAUUUGAUGAAAAUUCAUACAUAUAUUUUAAAUUUCCAUCCAAAGAGAACAAUAUCCCCAAAUGACAUUUUUCAGAUACCUCCACGUAUGCAACUUUGCUGCCAAACACUCUUUUACCUAUCCCAGCCCCCCACACAAAGAUUCUAGAUGUUUCUAUGAUAAACAUACUUAAUUUGCUAAAUCAAUUAAUUGAAUUUUAAAUGACUUUUAAAAUAUUGAAUGAAAAAAAAUAUUUGAUUUAUUAUUUUGUCAACUAUGUUACAGACAAAAGGUUUGAUAACACAUUUGUUUGAAAUUGUUUAAGUCUUUUUCCCUGGGGUUUAAGUUUAUCCGUCAACUGAUUUAAACAUAUGAAUUUUGAGGUUCAUAAUGGGGAUGUUAUAAGAUACUAUCAUUAAGGACACAACCCUUUUUUUAAACAUAAACAUCCUUGUGGUGCUAGAUAUUGCUCCUUCAGGGGACUCCCUAGUUCUGCUGGGGGACUUCAACACCCAUGUUGGAAAACUGAGACCAAGUGGUGCUUUGUUAUUUGAUUUCUGUGCUUGUCACAGACUGUCCAUAACGAACACCAUGUUCAGACAUAAGGGUGUCCACAUGUGCACUUGGCACCAGGACACCCUUGAGCGCAUUUUGAUGAUCGACUUUGUGGUCAUGUCGUCUGACUUGCGGCCAUACGUCUUGGAGAGUCGGGUGAAGAGAGGGGCGGAGCUGUCAAGUGAUCACCACUUGGUUGUGGUGAUGUGAGGGUCUGCUGGGAACAUCUGGCAGAGUCUCCCAUCAGAAGGAGCUUUGACUCCCACCUCCCAAAUCUAUGGAACCAAUGACAUUUAUAUUGGACCCCAGAACGAACAAAAAGGGCUCCAAUGUCUAAAUGGAAAUCCAAACAAAAAUAGCUCCAGAGUGCCCCCUACAAUUUUUAAAACAUUAGCCAUGCUGCUGUGGGUAACAUGGUCAGAGCUGCUGUGAAAAACUCUUUUGGUAAAGUGCAGCACAGUGAAUUAUUUUACAUUUGCUCAUGUAGUUGGAAAAGUUGUAAGGGGUUGAAAUGAAAAUGUACAUUUCGAAAACUGGAUGCAGGACAACAUCAAGAUGCACAAAAAAGCCGUGAUUGUCAGGGUUAUUUGUUAUUCAUUUGUGAAUAACACAUGAUUUAUUUAAUCAUGAAACCAUACAAAAAAAACAAGAAGAAUCACAAAAAUCAAUGCAUUUCUGCAUGUCUCAUGUAAUUGUCAAUGAUACCUUUAUUGUUGAAUGCAAUAAAUCUGGUAUCUUCAGUAUAUGAUCUAAUAAUAAAGGGCACUGCAGCAGGG